CCUUUAGCAACACAAGUAUUAAAGGUCCCGCCUGCCCAGUGAAUCUUUUCAACGGCCGCGGUAUUCUAACCGUGCAAAGGUAGCGUAAUCACUUGUCUUCUAAAUAAAGACCAGUAUGAACGGCUAAAUGAGGGUAAGCCUGUCUCCUACGACCUAUCAGUGAAACUGAUCUUCCAGUCCAAAAGCUGGAAUAUAAACAUAAGACGAGAAGACCCUGUGGAGCUUAAAACCACCUGCUACGAGCCAUCUUACGGCACACCUAGCAAAAAUUUUUAAGUUGGGGCGACUUUGGAACAAAACUAAACUUCCAAGCACAGAAUCAACAAUUCUAACCAAGGCAAACAGGCCUACGCAAAAAUUGACCCAGUCAAACUGAUCAACGAACCAAGUUACCCCAGGGAUAACAGCGCUAUCUUCUUCAAGAGUUCCUAUCGACAAGAAGGUUUACGACCUCGAUGUUGGAUCAGGGCACCCCAAUGGUGCAACCGCUAUUAAAGGUUCGUUUGUUCAACGAUUAACAGCC
rnacentral:rRNA from 1 species